UACGUAGUGUGAAUUGCAGAAUUCCGCGAAUCAUCGAGUCUUUGAACGCAACUUGCGCCCGCGGCUCGUCCAAGGGCAUGCCUGCUUGAGCGUCCCU
rnacentral:rRNA from 1 species